ACUGUGUUCUGCUCUUUUGAAUAGUUGGUGAACAUUUUUUCUCCUGUUAAGCUUGGUGCAGAUUUUGCAGCGCUGAAAGUCCUUAAGAUAUUUUUGUGAUGAACAUGUACUCACUGUAGGCAGCCGACACAUUUGUCCAUGAGGAACGAGAAGUUUAGUUAACUUUCAGCAGACCCGAACCGGAAAUACUGAAGCAGACAACUUGAUGUGUCAUAAAUUGGAAUUAUCAAUUUUGCUACAAUGAGUUUUCCUAUUGAUGCCGAGAAUUUGAUUGAAGAGUUAGAGGAGGACACAUGUGAAACAGAUGAGGCUCAAAAUUAUGGAGUUAUCGAAGAAAUCUCAACUGCAGAAACUCUUGCUCUUGAGGACAAAGCAGCGCCUGCCUCCAAAUCUGAAUCCAACGCUACCCUUGAGACCAAAAUUGUAGAUAAACCAAUCACUCCUGAACUUAACUCCACCUCAGAAGGAGCGGUAGCUGUCAGCACCAAAGUGGAGGAGCAAAGAUCUGACAUCCCUGACCACAAAGGAGAAAACAAGCAGGCACCAAAUCCUGGUGCAAAUACCUCGGCUGACAAUGAAGAAAAAUCAGAGUGUCAGGAGGACACUGAGAAGAUGGUGGACACAUCGGAAACUAUGUCUGCGCCUAGUUCACCACCUGUUCCAGAAAUUGUACCAAACUCCGAAACUCAUGUGAGCAACGUUACUAGAGAUGAUGAUUGUAGCAUAGUCUCAACUAGCUCUACAGUUCAAAAUCAAGAGUUAGAAGCCCUUCACACUGUAUUAAUCAAGGAGGAGGAGGAAGAAGAUGAUGCUUCACAUGUUGAGGAAUCAGAAAUGACCUUCAAUGUUUAUCCAGAAUUUGAAGAAAACUUGGACCCUAAAUUUAAGCCAACAAUUCGUCUGGAAAAAAUUGAAAUGCCUAGUGGCACAAUCAAGGUGGCAACUGAUGCUCAAGAAUCAGGAGAUGAAGAUUCAACUGCACCUCGACCUAAGCGGUCAUUAAAAACACCCUCCCGCCUAGCCAGUGGAGGUUUUAUAUUAGACCCUAAAGCACCAAAUGCAAAGACAUUACAAAAAACGCCAGCAGGUGAGAAGUCUUCAACAGCUAAGGUGGUUAAAAACUUUAUACCCAUUCGUCCAAAACCCGCUAACCUUAAUGACAAGGGUACAACAGUAACCUUGAUCAAGUCAGGACAAACUCCAGUUGCCAAAAAGGUGUACCAAGCGAAAUAG
rnacentral:lncRNA from 1 species